ensembl:snoRNA U3 Small nucleolar RNA U3
GAGACUCUACUUGCAGGGAUCAGUUCUAUAGUCCCUUACUAGAGAAGCAUCUCUGAUCGAGUAUGUACAGGAAACCAUGAGGAGGAGGUGUAAUGUUCUGUCCCGAGCAUGAGGCUGGUGCUGGGUGUUGUUCUGUGCAAGUGCCUAUCGCCACUGAUGAGCAUUCUUCUCUCCUCCUAGGAGAGUUAGAAGGAGAGAGCACAGUCUGAGGU